rnacentral:other from 1 species
AAUACCCUGCUAUGUUUGUGAUGUGGCAUACAAUGUUUUGAGCCAACACAUGAAAUAAUGGGUUCUUAUCUUACGUGUGUGACGCGAUAGGCUUAGGCCAAGGCGGAGCUUACGAGGCGGAGCCCGACCUGUAAAAGCAGGUUCAAAACAAAGCUACACACAGCAUGGCGGGGACCUU